GAUGAACGCUGGCGGCGUGCCUAAUACAUGCAAGUCGAGCGAACAGAUGAGGAGCUUGCUCCUCUGACGUUAGCGGCGGACGGGUGAGUAACACGUGGAUAACCUACCUAUAAGACUGGGAUAACUUCGGGAAACCGGAGCUAAUACCGGAUAAUAUAUUGAACCGCAUGGUUCAAUAGUGAAAGACGGUUUUGCUGUCUCUUAUAGAUGGAUCCGCGCCGCAUUAGCUAGUUGGUAAGGUAACGGCUUACCAAGGCAACGAUGCGUAGCCGACCUGAGAGGUGGAUCGGCCACACUGGAACUGAGACACGGUCCAGACUCCUACGGGAGGCAGCAGUAGGGAAUCUUCCGCAAUGGGCGAAAGCUUGACGGAGCAACGCCGCGUGAGUGAUGAAGGUCUUCGGAUCGUAAAACUCUGUUAUUAGGGAAGAACAAAUGUGUAAGUAACUAUGCACGGCUUGACGGUACCUAAUCAGAAAGCCACGGCUAACUACGUG
rnacentral:rRNA from 1 species